rnacentral:lncRNA from 1 species
AUGCCAGUCCCAGGACCGCUCAGCGUAGCUUCCACGCUGGCUGUUUCGGUGUCACAAACCCGAGAGCGCCAAGCCCUUCGGCUAUGUGUCGUGUUUGGGCAACGUCACUCCAGCGACUGUGAACACGGUCGGGCAGUGCCGGGCCGGUGUCCACGUGCGGACCACGCGCGGGCAGAGUGGGACAGAGGCUGCAGGUCCCGGGUCGCAGGGGUCACCACCAUCCUGCCUCCCGACGACCCCGCCCCGGAGAGAUCGUGGGAGGCGGGGCUGGCCGCCGCUAACCCAUGGCCGAGGCCAAGCCAAGUGCAACACGGCUGCGCCCUUCGAGCCCAAAAAAGAGCACAAGCACCUCAGGAAUCUCUGAAUCUGCUCUUCGUGGAAGGAAAAUCAUAAGCGGCUCAUGAAGGGCUCACCCUCCCAACACCUGCCACUUCCCCCACUGUGCACGAAUCCUCACAACCCACCACCACCUACCCAGCACCCACGGUGUGCCGGGAGCUGGGGUGACAGGGAAGUGUCUUCCACCAACCGCUCCCCAAACCAAAAGGUUGGUCCCCGCGCUUCAGAAGCUGGUGUCGGGAGAGGCGACCCCCUUCCUCCUCUUGCCUUUCGGUCAAGAGACCGCAUCCCCGGAGGAUGAUGAGACUGGUUACUCUCAGGGUCCUCAAAAAAAAAAUUUUUUUUUUAAUACAAAAAAAGCCUUCCUGAGAGGAAAAGGUGAGCAGGGGGAGGCUCGUGGGCAGCAAGGUUCCCAGGCCUGGAUCCCCGGCCU